AGAGAGAGAGAGAGAACGGAGAGACAGGAGAGAGAAAGAGGGAGGAGACCACCUUUCUUUCUUAGACAAAAAGAAAGAAGAGAAAGAAAAGAGGAGAAGAUCAAAUAUUGAAGGGAGAAACAAGAGAUUGAAGAGGGAGGGAGGGAUUGUGUGCUAGAGAGAAAGAGGCGUAGAGUAGAGGGGGUGUUUGUGAAUGCACCCCCAGUGAAAACUCUGCGACUCAUUCCUAGGGAGAUAUAUCUAAAGAGCAAGCAAAAGAACGAACGUUGGGCUGCAGCUCGCUGCUGCGACAUUCUAAGAGCGAUUCAGGGAAGAGAUGAGCCAACCAAGGAAGGGAGAUGGUGGGUCGGUGGCCGUGGCCGUGGACAGGGACAAGGGGAGCCAAUAUGCGGUAAGGUGGGCGGUGGAGCACCUGCUCACCAAGGGCCAGACCCUCAACGUCGUUCAUGUCAAGCCUAAGUCUCAGACAGGCUCCAACCCAAAUGGUAGUGAAGAUUCUGCACAGAUGGAAGAGCAAAUAAAGGAAUUGAUCCUUCCAUUUCGAUGCUAUUGUACUCGCAAAGACAUCAACUGUAAAGAUGUCAUCUUAGAGGACAAUGACGUGACUAAAGCUAUCAUCGAAUAUGUCUCUCAGGCGACAAUUGAAAAUCUUGUAGUUGGUGCAUCCUCCAGAAGUUCAUUCCUCAGAUUUAAGAGCCAGGACAUUGCUUCUAGCAUAUCCAAAGGCGCACCAGAAUAUUGCACGGUGUAUACUAUUUCCAAAGGCAAGAUAACUUCAGUCAGAUCAGCUACUCGUGCAGCACCUGUGACGAUGAUGUCGUCCCGCCCACCCACCAAUAUCCAACCAAGUACUAGGGUGGAGCCUGUGGAACCAAGCUUCCAACCUAGCUUAAAAGCUGAGAGUGAUGGCAUGGACACAAUCAAGUCUCCAUUUAACAGACCAGGAAGAGGAUCAGGUGCCCGGAAUAGCAUCGAGCUGAAUAUGCAUGAAACUGACAUAUCCUUUGUUAACCCCAGUAGUCGGCAGAACAUAGAAAGACCAUUUCCCUCGCGUGAUUAUAGUGAAUCAGGAAGACCUCCAAGGCUCUCAUUUGGGCAAAGUAUGGAUGAGGAUAUUUUAGCCUCUGGCAACAACAGAAGCUUUCAGUCACCACUUCACUAUACACAGAAGUCCAUGGACCUUCAUUCCAACGAGAUGGAGCAUUCCUCUACUUCCUUUGGCAGUGGUGGAUCAUGGUCAUCACAGACAGGGGAGGACCUCGAAGCUGAAAUGAGGAGAUUGAAGCUUGAGUUGAAGCAAACAAUGGAUAUGUACAGCAAUGCAUGUAAAGAAGCCCUUUCUGCGAAACAAAAGGCGAUUGAGCUGCAUCGUUGGAAAGUAGAGGAAGAACAAAGGCUGGAAGAAGCGAGGCUAGCUGAGGAGGCAGCACUGGCCUUAGCAGAGAAGGAGAAGCAAAAAUGUAAAGCAGCUAUGGAGGCAGCAGAGGCAGCCCAAAGAAUAGCAGAGAUUGAAGCACAAAAGAGAAUAAGUGCAGAGAUGAAGGCACUCAAGGAAGCAGAAGAAAAGAAGAAGGCAUUGGACGCAUUAGCACAGAAUGAUGUUAGAUACAGAAAGUAUACAAUUCAAGAGAUUGAAAUUGCUACGGACUUCUUUUCAGAGAAGAGAAAGAUAGGUGAGGGUGGAUAUGGACCUGUAUAUAGUUCCUACCUGGACCAUACGCCAGUUGCAAUCAAGGUCUUGAGGCCUGAUGCAGCGCAAGGGCGGAUGCAGUUUCAACAAGAGGUUGAAGUUCUGAGCUGUAUAAGGCAUCCCAACAUGGUGUUGCUCCUUGGUGCCUGCCCAGAGUAUGGUUGCCUUGUUUAUGAGUACAUGGCCAAUGGCAGCUUGGAUGACUGUCUUUUCAGGCGAGGAAACACUCCUCUUUCAUGGCAGCUUCGGUUCCGGAUUGCAGCAGAGAUUGCAACCGGUCUACUUUUCCUCCAUCAGACCAAACCAGAGCCUCUGGUCCAUCGGGAUCUUAAGCCAGCAAACAUCUUGCUUGACAGAAACUUUGUUGCCAAGAUCAGUGAUGUUGGACUUGCUAGACUUGUCCCUCCCAAUGUAGUUAACGACGUGACUCAGUAUAGGAUGACAUCCACAGCUGGUACUUUCUGUUACAUAGAUCCUGAAUAUCAGCAGACCGGGAUGCUUGGCAUCAAGUCAGAUAUAUAUUCCCUUGGCAUCAUGCUGCUUCAGAUCAUCACAGCAAAACCACCAAUGGGUCUAACACAUCACGUUGAACGAGCCAUAGACAAAGGCACAUUGAAAGAGUUUCUGGAUCCAGCUGUUACAGAUUGGCCUAUGCAAGAAACUAUGUUAUUUGCUAAGUUGGCCCUAAAAUGUGCAGAACUGAGGAGGAAAGAUAGACCUGAUCUUGGCACUGAGGUCUUACCACAGCUUGAAAAGCUAAGGGUCUUAGGAGAAGAAAACAUGUCAUUACCUUAUAUGUUGGGUGGGAGUACAAAUGCUUCUCCGAACCACAGCCUUGCUAUGAUGCGCCAGGAAGUGAUCAGUGAAUCUAUUUCAUCUGGGUUUACAAACGAGUCAUCCAUAAAGAGCCUUUCAAGCACGUCAACGUCCAUGAUAGGGAGGAGAGCUUUAUAGAGGAGGGAAGACCUGCUGCUUUUGCCAGUAUUUGAAGAGGUAACCCAAUGCUCUGGAGGGGGCCAUUAAAGCUUUAUAAAGCUGUCAAAACAUCUUGCAGGUAUAAAACAAAAGCAAGGUACUCCAGGAAUUUCGUUUUCACACUGAUGGGACGACCUGCGAGAAGAAGACAUGGAAAACAACAAACCUGUGCAGCCAUUUCUCGCCAUUAACCAAAACACCUGCCCGUUAGCUGAUCAGCUGGUGAAGUCCAUCAUAGCCAAGCCGAGCUAGAUGCAACCCAGUUUUGGUCAUGUCUAAAAUGCGUUCUUUUUAUGUUUUUCCCGCUGGACCUGCUGCGUAUUGUCAGCUUGAAGUAGAUUCAAAUGUUCAUGUAUUUCCCUUGUGUUGUACAUCUUCUUGAAUGGUUCAUGUAACAUUAAUUAUGUGUACUGCUCUAAUAAAAAUGGUACUU